UUCUGGAAAGACCGGAUCCGACGGUGAAGGGACGAAAGCUCGGGUCACGAACCGGAUAGAUACCCGGGUAGUUCGAAGCUGUAAACGAUGUCUGCUAGGUGUGCACAGGCUACGAGCCUGUGCUGUGCCGUAGGGAAGCCGUGAAGCAGACCGCCUGGGAAGUACGUCCGCAAGGAUGAAACUUAAAGGGAUUGGCGGGGGAGCACUACAACCGGAGGAGCCUGCGGUUUAAUUGGACUCAACGCCGGACAUCUCACCAGCAUCGACAAUGUGCAGUGAAAGUCAGGUUGAUGACCUUACUGGAGCCAUUGAGAGGAGGUGCAUGGCCGCCGUCAGCUCGUACCGUGAGGCGUCCUGUUAAGUCAGGCAACGAGCGAGACCCGCACUCCUAAUUGCCAGCAACACCUAGCGGUGGUUGGGUACAUUAGGAGGACUGCCAGUGCCAAACUGGAGGAAGGAACGGGCAACGGUAGGUCAGUAUGCCCCGAAUGUGCUGGGCGACACGCGGGCUACAAUGGCCGAGACAGUGGGAUGCAACCCCGAAAGGGGGCGCUAAUCUCCGAAACUCGGUCGUAGUUCGGAUUGAGGGCUGAAACUCGCCCUCAUGAAGCUGGAUUCGGUAGUAAUCGCGCCUCAGAAGGGCGCGGUGAAUACGUCCCUGCUCCUUGCACACACCGCCCGUCAAAGCACCCGAGUGGGGUCCGGAUGAGGCCGACGCAACGUCGGUCGAAUCUGGGCUCCGCAAGGGGGCUUAAGUCGUAACAAGGUAGCCGUAGGGGAAUCUGCGGCUGGAUCACCUCCU
rnacentral:rRNA from 1 species